rnacentral:ncRNA from 1 species
UGGGGAUGCAGACUCCCCAUCAGACGGCCAUCCCGUCCAAGCUCUGC